CAGCCGCCACGGGAAUACAGAGGGUGCAAGCGUUAAUCGGAAUUACUGGGCGUAAAGCGCGCGUAGGUGGUUUGUUAAGUUGGAUGUGAAAGCCCCGGGCUCAACCUGGGAACUGCAUCCAAAACUGGCAAGCUAGAGUACGGUAGAGGGUGGUGGAAUUUCCUGUGUAGCGGUGAAAUGCGUAGAUAUAGGAAGGAACACCAGUGGCGAAGGCGACCACCUGGACUGAUACUGACACUGAGGUGCGAAAGCGUGGGGAGCAAACAGGAUUAGAUACCCCUGUAGUCCCCUGUCUCUUAUU
rnacentral:rRNA from 1 species